rnacentral:rRNA from 1 species
GACGAACGCUGGCGGCGUGCUUAACACAUGCAAGUCGAACGGAAAGGCCCUGCUUUUGUGGGGUGCUCGAGUGGCGAACGGGUGAGUAACACGUGAGUAACCUGCCCUUGACUUUGGGAUAACUUCAGGAAACUGGGGCUAAUACCGGAUAGGAGCUCCUGCUGCAUGGUGGGGGUUGGAAAGUUUCGGCGGGUGGGGAUGGACUCGCGGCUUAUCAGCUUGUUGGUGGGGGAGUGGCUUACCAAGGCUUUGACGGGUAGCCGGCCUGAGAGGGUGACCGGCCACCUUGGGCCUGAGGUACGGCCCAGACUCCUACGGGAGGCAGCAGUGGGGAAUAUUGCACAAUGGGCGGAAGCCUGAUGCAGCAACGCCGCGUGCGGGAUGACGGCCUUCGGGUUGUAAACCGCUUUCGCCUGUGACGAAGCGUGAGUGACGGUAAUGGGUAAAGAAGCACCGGCUAACUACGUG